rnacentral:tRNA from 1 species
GGUAAGAUGGCCGAGCAAGGCGGCGGGUUGUAGCCCCGACGACAGAGGAUAAUUCUCCCCUCUUCCUACA